AAAAUACAAACAAUGUUGCCCCCCUUUUUGCUCUCUGCUUGGGGUUCGCACCCCCCUCGCCGCCGCCGUUCAUCUGCCAUGGUUUCGACGCAACCAGUGGCCGGAGAACUGGGUUUUCAACCCCCUUUUGGAGCAGACCUGAGGGUGAGAUAAGUUUCCCUUCUUUUUCUUUUUUAUUUUAAAUGAAAAAUAAAUAAAAGAAUAGAAAAACUAAAAACGAUUCACCUUCGAAAAAUAUCUUAGUCUCAGUAUAUUUUUCUCUCUAUAUUUGUAUGUCUUUUACAGUGAAAAAAUCCCCCUCCCCCUUUUACACUGAAUCCCCACGGCUUUUAAAUAGCCGAAAAUAACAAAAAUAAGCAAAAAAAAAAUCUCCCCUUCAAUAUUAGUUGCAAUUUUUGCUAUUACUCUGCUAUUGCUGCUCCAUAUGCUUCUUUUUCGCAGGUUUGGUGGCUGUAAAGUGCGCGCGGAGCGGCGGGCACAACGUGCGGGAGUGGUUGCGCGAUGUGCGGCGCUUGCGGAGGGGUGGUGCGCAGGGUGAUGCAGCGCUAGGGCCAAAGCUGCUAGGGUUUUCCAUUUUUGGGUUGAUUUGGGUCAAAAAAAUGAGCCUAUAAUUUGGUUAUUGGGUCAGGGUGUUAUUAGGUUUGUUUAUUGGUUUGGGCCCGGGCAUAUUUGGGCUUGUACAAAUCUAGUUUUUGGUAAAAAAAUAUUAUAUACAUUUAAAAUAAGUAAUAUUUAAAUUGUACUAAAUAUUGUAAUAGUUUAAUUUCUUUUUUUAAAUUUUCAUGCAGA
rnacentral:lncRNA from 1 species